GACGAACGCUGGCGGCGUGCUUAACACAUGCAAGUCGAACGAUGACGACCGAGCUUGCUCGGUCUGAUUAGUGGCGAACGGGUGAGUAACACGUGAGCAACCUGCCCUUCACUCUGGGAUAACCUCGGGAAAUCGGGGCUAAUACCGGAUAUGAGCUCCUGUCGCAUGGCGGGUGUUGGAAAGUUUUUCGGUGAAGGAUGGGCUCGCGGCCUAUCAGUUUGUUGGUGAGGUAGUGGCUCACCAAGGCGAUGGCGGGUAGCCGGCCUGAGAGGGCGACCGGCCACACUGGGACUGAGACACGGCCCAGACUCCUACGGGAGGCAGCAGUGGGGAAUAUUGCACAAUGGGCGAAAGCCUGAUGCAGCGACGCCGCGUGAGGGAUGACGGCCUUCGGGUUGUAAACCUCUUUCAGCAGGGAAGAAGCGAAAGUGACGGUACCUGCAGAAGAAGCGCCGGCUAACUACGUG
rnacentral:rRNA from 1 species